GACGAACGCUGGCGGCGUGCCUAAUACAUGCAAGUAGAACGCACAGUUUAUACCGUAGCUUGCUACACCAUAAACUGUGAGUUGCGAACGGGUGAGUAACGCGUAGGUAACCUGCCUGGUAGCGGGGGAUAACUAUUGGAAACGAUAGCUAAUACCGCAUAAUAUUAAUUAUUGCAUGAUAAUUGAUUGAAAGAUGCAAUUGCAUCACUACCAGAUGGACCUGCGUUGUAUUAGCUAGUAGGUGAGGUAACGGCUCACCUAGGCGACGAUACAUAGCCGACCUGAGAGGGUGAUCGGCCACACUGGGACUGGGACACGGCCCAGACUCCUACGGGAGGCAGCAGUAGGGAAUCUUCGGCAAUGGACGAAAGUCUGACCGAGCAACGCCGCGUGAGUGAAGAAGGGUUUCGGAUCGUAAAGCUCUGUUGUAAGAGAAGAACGGGUGUGAGAGUGGAAAGUUCACACUGUGACGGUAUCUUACCAGAAAGGGACGGCUAACUACGUG
rnacentral:rRNA from 1 species